rnacentral:misc_RNA from 1 species
UAAAUGAGCUAUUAUUCAUCAACUAUCCCUUUUUCUUCGCGAUGGAAAACAUUCCACUCGCUUCAGAACUUCAAGUUAGAAAAAUAUAAAUAUUCCGAGCAUUCUAUGAUCCUAGUAAUAUACGCGGAAUCCUUACUCUGAAAGAAAAGACUGAUGGUCUACACGUUGGUGAUUAGCAGAGAAGAUGAAUCGAACCAACAGGUGGAAUGAUGGGACCAUUAAAAAACAUGCAGUUAAAAGGAGCAUACUGAACUCUAUCACUUUGAUUCCUUCGAUCCUUCAUAGCCGUAGGGGUUUUUACUGGCC